rnacentral:rRNA from 1 species
AUACGGAGGGUGCAAGCGUUGUUCGGAAUCACUGGGCGUAAAGGGCGCGCAGGCGGUUUGGUAAGUCAGAUGUGAAAGCCCACGGCUCAACCGUGGAAGUGCAUUUAAAACUGUCAGACUUGAGUACUAGAGGGGAAAGUGGAAUUCCCGGUGUAGAGGUGAAAUUCGUAGAUAUCGGGAGGAAUACCGGUGGCGAAGGCGACUUUCUGGCUAGAUACUGACGCUGAGGCGCGAAAGCGUGGGGAGCAAACAGGAUUAGAUACCCCGGUAGUCC